UGGCCCUCGCCACAAUGAUAACAAGUAUCUUUGGCGGAGACCUUCACCUUCUUCUUAGAGAUGCCAGCCUUAGGGUUUAUCUUUUUCUUGAAAUCUUCUUUUGUCUUCUUCUUGUCGAUCUUAUCAACAAGAAGUACUGGAGCCUUUUCAUCCUUGAAAUGGCUCUCUGCUGUUUUCAGCAUGUUCAGCAGUUCUGGCAGGCUGAUGUUUAGUUUGUUCAGUGAUAAUUUAUAACAAAUUAAGAAAAGGAGUCAGGGAGAGACUGCAGGAUCAAAUCCUGGCUCAGUUCAUCAUCCAUGAUAAAGUCCAGCUGUCCC
rnacentral:lncRNA from 1 species